GAUGAACGCUAGCGGCAGGCUUAACACAUGCAAGUCGAGGGGUAUAGUUCUUCGGAACUAGAGACCGGCGCACGGGUGCGUAACGCGUAUGCAAUCUACCUUUUGCAGAGGGAUAGCCCAGAGAAAUUUGGAUUAAUACCUCAUGGUAUGUGAGAAUGGCAUCAUUUUCACAUUAAAGUCACAACGGCAAAAGAUGAGCAUGCGUCCCAUUAGCUUGUUGGUAAGGUAACGGCUUACCAAGGCAACGAUGGGUAGGGGUCCUGAGAGGGAGAUCCCCCACACUGGUACUGGGACACGGACCGGACUCCUACGGGAGGCAGCAGUGAGGAAUAUUGGACAAUGGGCGCAAGCCUGAUCCAGCCAUGCCGCGUGCAGGAUGACGGUCCUAUGGAUUGUAAACUGCUUUUGUACAGGAAGAAACACUGGUUCGUGAACCAGCUUGACGGUACUGUAAGAAUAAGGAUCGGCUAACUUCGUGCCAGCCGCCGCCGUAACAC
rnacentral:rRNA from 1 species